AUAAAUAAAUAAAGCCGUAUUGGUAACUUAAUUAUAUAGGAGGAUUGAGUUUUAUUUUAAUUAUUGGGGUGUAAUAAAUAAUUUGUACUGUGAAGGAUGAGUUUAAUGUUGAUUACAGUUGAGUAGGGGUAGUGAGUUUAUGUUCCUUUUGUAUCAGGAUUCAAUAAAUAAAAGAAAAAAUUUUGUAUUCCCGAAGAUAUGAGAGCUAUGGGUUGAGUAAAUAUGUUGUUGUAAAAAUAUAUUUAAUAAUUUUAUUGGGGUGAAAUGCUAUUCGGACAUUUGGAUAACUGGUUUAUGGAGAAGUUAUUUUAAGUAAGUUUUUUGAUUAGAGUAUCAUUUGUUAUUCGAAAGAUAUAUGUUGAUUGGGAUAAGCUAAUUAAUUAUUUAUAUUAAAGGUGGAAUGAUAUUUAUUAUAAUUAAAAGUUGAAAUGAGAAGUGUUAUAACUAAUUAAUUUUUAAAAUAGUGUAGAUUAAGUUUAUAUCUGUAUGAUUUAUGUAAUUUGAAAUUGGAGUUAAUAAUGUUGUAAUUAGUAGAAUAAUAUAAUGUUUAUGUUUUUAUAUAUAUAUAUAUAAUGAAGUUUUAAUAAUGAUAUUGUGAAUAUUAGGAAUUUGGCAAAUUUAUUUUAUGCAUGUUUAUCAAAAGCUUGGUUUAUAGAUGUUAUUGUAAAUCUGAUCUGCCAAUUGAUUAGUUAAAAGGCCGCAGUAUUUUGACUGUGCGAAGGUAGCAUAAUCAAUUGUCUUUUUAUUGGAGAAUAGUAUGAAAGAUUUAACAUAGAAUAACUGUCUCAUAUUUAGGAAUUGAAUUUGCUUUUUUGUUAAAAAUCAAAGAUGUAAUUGAGGGACGAAAAGACCCUAUGAACUUAUCCUUUUCUCUCUUUUUUUGUUUUUGANAGAGAAAAGGGUUUAACUGGGGUGGUUGUGAAAGAUUGAAUAUCUUUUGUUGAUGGAUUUAUGUAUAUGAAUUGGUUUGAUCCACUUGGGGUGAUUAUAAUGGUUAAGUUACUGUAGGGAUAACAGUCGUANUAUUUUAAUGAAUGUCUUAUUUUUUGAAAUGAUUGCUACCUCGAUGUUGAAUUAAUUGUCUUUUUGGUGUAUGUUUUAAGUAGGGGAAAGUCUGUUCGACUUUUAAAUUUUUACAUGAUUUGAGUUCAGAUCGGCGUGAGCCAGAUUGGUUUCUAUCUUCAAUAUAAAACACUUUUUUGUACGAAAGGACUAAAAGUGUUUUAUUUUAAAUGUUAAUGGUUUUAGUU
rnacentral:rRNA from 1 species